rnacentral:rRNA from 1 species
AGGACGAACGCUGGCGGCAUGCCUAACACAUGCAAGUCGAACGGGAUGGAGCCUUCGGGCUCCGGCGAGUGGCGAACGGGUGAGUAACACGUGGGUAACCUGCCCUUCACUGGGGGACAACCGAGGGAAACUUCGGCUAAUACCGCAUGAUGUGCGAUGCCAUGAGGUGUCGUACCAAAACUCCGGUGGUGAAGGAUGGGCCCGCGGCGGAUUAGCUAGUUGGUGGGUAAUGGCCUACCAAGGCGACGAUCCGUAGCUGGUCUGAGAGGACGAUCAGCCACACUGGGACUGAGACACGGCCCAGACUCCGUACGGGAGGCAGCAGUGGGGAAUCUUGCGCAAGU